AACCCAUGGUGAGGGCACCUUCUCAAUAGAUCUUUGUAUCUCUCCCAGCCAUCAUAAAGUUUUCUAAAUCCAUCUGCACAAAAGAAGAUAUAUCAUUCCUUAAUUU
rfam:Gossypium hirsutum cultivar TM-1 chromosome 12, whole genome shotgun sequence